AACGAACGCUGGCGGCAGGCCUAACACAUGCAAGUCGAACGGGACCUUCGGGUCUAGUGGCGGACGGGUGAGUAACGCGUGGGAACGUGCCCUUUGGUUCGGAAUAGCCCCGGGAAACUGGGAGUAAUACCGGAUAAGCCCUACGGGGGAAAGAUUUAUCGCCAAAGGAUCGGCCCGCGUUGGAUUAGGUAGUUGGUGAGGUAGUGGCUCACCAAGCCGACGAUCCAUAGCUGGUUUGAGAGGAUGAUCAGCCACACUGGGACUGAGACACGGCCCAGACUCCUACGGGAGGCAGCAGUGGGGAAUCUUAGACAAUGGGGGAAACCCUGAUCUAGCCAUGCCGCGUGAUCGAUGAAGGCCUUAGGGUUGUAAAGAUCUUUCAGUGGGGAAGAUAAUGACUGUACCCACAGAAGAAGCCCCGGCUAACUCCGUGCCAGCCGCCGCAGUAAAAC
rnacentral:rRNA from 1 species